GGGCGAUUGGCUCAGUGGUAGAGCGCUACCUUGACACGGUAGAGGUCACUGGUUCGAACCCAGUAUCGCCCA
rfam:Geodermatophilus obscurus DSM 43160, complete genome.